rnacentral:lncRNA from 1 species
CUCUAUAUCCGUGGCUCGGUUCUUGCGAUGCAUACAGGUAAAUUUCGAUUUGAAUAUGUAUAUAUCCAAUCUUUGGUCUGCAAAAGACUAAAUCUGUUUCAUCUUCUUGUUUUUACUUUAUUUCAUUCAUGACCAAAAAUCCCACCAAGGGUAAUUGUUGCUGGAUUGGUCCAAGAGAGUAGUAGUAUCUGAUUUGAAACCUCUCCAAUCAUCAGAUGAUGUCAAACAACUAUCAGCUGGUUCAACAAUGUUCAUUAAGUGAUCUGGUUCUUCCUCAAACCCACCAAAAUACUCUCUCUUGAUGUUGUUAUUGUAACCAUCAUCAUCAUCAUCAUAAUCAUCAUGAUUAUGAUCACACAUAACCCCAUGGUGACCCUUCUCAUCUUUCAUCUCCAUCUCCGGUCUAACCUCUUCCGGUUCACGCCUCCGGUUCUCUUCGUUUUCUGAUUCAUGAUCUGUGCUGCUUAGAGCCACCACAGCUUGAUCUCUACAACACUGCCUUUCCUCAUCCUGAGUCUUCUUCUGCAUCGCCUCUUUUAGCCUCUGCAACUGCAUAAACGUAUAAAACAACUCAUCAACAAUCUAUUUUCUCCUUCAAUAAACCAUCAAAACAGAGUUUUUUUUCUUUUAAUCACCUAAUAUAUAACCAACUUUAAGUCAUUAAUUGCAGUAUCUAACCAUGGAAGGAUAAACAGAUUUUAGGACAUACCUCAGAGACUAAAGCUUGUUUUUCUUUCUUUAAGGACUCAAACUGAGAAGCUAAGUUGUCGUAGUUUUGUCUAAGAAUGUUGUACUCAGUCUCGAGCUGCUUCGAUUUCCAACGAGCCCUCUUGUUCUGAAACCAUAUAGCCACUUGCCUCGGCUGCAACCCUAGCUCUCUAGCUAGUUGAACCUUCUUCCUUGGCUCAAGCCUUGUCUCAGACUCGAACAUCAUCUCCAGUGACUUGAUCUGCUCGUCGCUAAACCUUCUCUGAUUGUUCUUGUUGUGAUUGCUCUUCUUUAUCUUCUUCAUGGUCAAGAAUGGAUCUGAUGACAUCAUCGCCGGAGAAUAUUCUCCUCCUUGUCUCAUCUCAUCGGAGGAUUUAUGUUUCUUUUAUUUAUUUUUUGGAAUCUCUGUGUUUGUGUGAUGUUGGCUAAUCUAUAUAUGUGUGUUGAGGCUGAGAUUAUUAUGUUAAACAGUUACAUAAAAAAUGUGAUUUGUUUUUAUUUUUUUAUGGGAGGGGUCCUUGGCAUAUAAUAAGAUAUAAACUCUGGGCUGCUUUAUCGUAAAAUUUUUAUUCAUUUUUUAGCUAAACGAUUUGUGGGUCGACAGGUAGCAAUAGGGCGGAUUUUGGCUGUUUCUAGAGUCGUCGCUAUCACUUGUUAAGUCGAGUUUCAUUUCAACUUGAAACUAAUCAUCUAACUACUGAUUAAUAAUUUCCACCUUUUUUCAUUUCUUUUACUUUUACUUUUAUGAUCUUUUUAGAAAGCUUUUUCUCUAGUAAAAAAAAUUCUAGGAAUAUCACUAUUUAAUUAAUAAGUAAAUAUACAUUUAAAUUGGUCUUUUGGCAUAUUUUUUCCUUAUGUUAUCUGAGGCCGUAACCGUACAAGGUUUGAAAUCCUCCCAGGCACUUUCCCCGAGGUUCCAGAAGCAGCAUGGAGCGUUCUAUUAACCAGAUCUGAACAACUUUUUACUCCUUAAAAAGGGAAUCUCCUUUUGGUCUUUACCCAAAGAAUGAUUAUAUCUGUUGGUUUCUGGUGUUACCCGCUGAACUUUUCUCCAAGAACCUCCUUUGCUCCUCCUUGCUCCGCUGCCCUCAAGCUCAUCUAAGCCUUUGAAUCCCUCCUCAUCACUGGUAUAACGCUCUAAUCCCUUAAUCACACUCUUGCAUCUGCUGUAAACCUUGUUAACCCUGUUAAGCCUUAUACUCUGUCACAAAAGCCCUGCUAUCUUACUUAUAUCCCUGCAAACCCAUCUGUUACCACUCCUGCUCAACAUCUCCCAAAGAACUAUGACGUCCAGAAUCCCUCAUCAUCUCAAGGGAAAAGGAUUAGCCAGUGGUUACUCUCCUCCACCUCGCAAGAGAAUCCAAGCCCCUCCUCUUGAUACGACUGAGCUUAUUGAAGCAAACUCCCUAACCCUCAUAGGACGCCUUACUAAUCCCUCUUGCCAACGACUGUGGGCUCUAUUCCCUUUCCUCUCAAAUCGUUGGAACCUCAGGGGAAAGGCUCUGGGAUCAGAUCUAGGAAGAGGCUGCUUCCAGUUCAAGUUUGACUUUGCUGAAGACAUGCAAAAGGUUCUUGAUAAUAGGCCUUACCACUUUGAUCAGUGGAUGAUUAUUCUGCAAAAGUGGGAACCGAUUAUCUCUGAUAAUUUCCCAUCUUCAAUUCCCUUCUGGAUUGACAUUCAAGGCCUCCCAAAACACUACUGGCAACCUGAAAUGCUCCACUCCAUUGGAGAAAACCUUGGUGAGAUUAUGGAUCUAGAAAUUACCUCUGCUGCUAUUAAGCUAAGAGUACUCCUUGAUGGCCUCCAACCCCUCUUGAAGGAAUGUGUGGUGGAUUUCCCUGAUGGGUCUGAAGCCCUUAUCUCUCUGGAGUAUAAGAGUCUGAAAAGCCACUGUCUACACUGCCAAAGAUUAACUCAUGAGACAAAAUCUUGCCCAGGUCUCCGGUCUUCAAAGGAGAUAACAAAAGAUAAAUCUCUAGUACCUGUUUCCCCCCAACAUGCUUCAAAAGUCACCUCCAGAAACUAUUAUACUCCGCGUGAUAACUUCAGAGCACCCAGUAAUCUCUCACAGAGAUCUGAGAGGAACUACCCUCCCCACAAAGACUCUUAUCAUAUCAAAAAUAGACAUCUCCCUGCAGCUUCUCGCUCCUCCUCUCACUCUGAGACUAGAACCUUUUCUCAAGUCCAAAGUAAACAUAGAGAUGAUCCUAUUCGCCUUUCACACAGCUCCAGAGGAGAAUUUAGUAGAGAUCACUCUAAUUACAAGACUUCCCGGAGAGGAUAUGAGCAACAAAGACCUCGGCAAAAUCAACAAUGGAGAGAAAAAACCCCUUCUCCCUCUGGUCAAUAUCGUGAGAUCUCUGAUUCAUCCAGAACUAGAAGGCCACCUCUGGAAAGAACCUUUGAGGAAGUUGCACCGCCUACACCUCCUCCCAUCCCAACAACUGACGAAGUUAUGGGUGAGCUGAGAGAAGUAACUCUGCAAUACACAAAUUGUGCAGAUCCAACGGAGAGUGCUGCAAGGAAAAGAAGAGUACUACAAGGUGAAGCCCAGAACCUGAUGGCAGAAACUGCCUCUCAAAUGAUAGAGGCUGCAACAAGAGCAAACCAGUCUGCUCUGGAGCUUAGAAAGCAGUCUCUUAAUGUUACCUUGGAGGAGACUCAUGAGUCUCUUAGUAUCCCACCGGGUUUCUCUCCACCCUCUGCUGCUCCUGCAAAAAAGAAAAGAGGGAGACCUCCCCUUAAUAAAUCUCAACCAAAAGGACCCCUGAAUCUCACAGGUGCAAAAUCCAGUAAAAGAAAUAGAUGCACAGUCCAAAGCUCACCUAAACGAAAGCCUACACCAGAGAAGAAUCUGAACUCAGAUGCAGGAACCAGCAGAAAUCCUAGGAAAAAUCCUUCAAAGUCUCUAGUUACUAAUACGGGGCCAAAAGUAAACAUUAUACCUGCUGUGGUAAAAAAGAAGGUGGAUUUUCAAGAUCCACCAAAUUCUCUUCCUUAAAGCUCAUAAGCUGGAACUGUUGUGGGCUGGGGAACCCUACAACAGGCCGGCGACUGCGUGAGAUAAACUCUAAUAUCUCACCAGAACUUCUCUUCCUAAUGGAAACCAAAAAUCCUGAUGAAACUGUUGAAAAAUCCCUUUCCUGGAUGCCCUAUACCUCUCAUUUCCUUGUUCCCCCCACAGUCCUGGUGGUGGUGGGUUGGCUCUCUAUUGGAAACAAGAUGUGGAAGUCUCUAUCCUCUCAUCCUGCCAGAACUUUAUAGACACUCAAAUCAAGUUUGCAGGCAAAUCUUUCUUUGCUACCUUUCUAUAUGGGGAACCAGAUAGAGCAAAGAGAAAAGCUAUUUGGGAGCAACUCACAGCUAAAGGAGAGAGUAGAGAGGACCCCUGGUUCUUAACUGGUGACUUUAACGAUAUCAUUGACUCUUCUGAGAAGCAAGGAGGUCCUGCAAGGCAGGAAGGAUCCUUUGUUGAUAUUCGAUCCUUCAUGGCAAAAUGUGAUUUGUUUGAUCUAAAACACUCUGGAAAUUUCUUCUCCUGGCGUGGUAAGCGACACGAUCAUAUGGUACACUGUAGGCUGGAUAGAGCUAUGGCUAAUGGGGCCUGGUCAGAAGCUUAUCCUCUUAGUCGCAGUGAAUAUCUGAGAUUUGAGGGCUCAGAUCAUAGGCCUCUCCUGUCUGUCCUGGAUCAUACAAAAAAGAAGCUGAAGGGAAUUUUCAGAUUUGACAGACGGUUAAAGGAUAAUGAAGAAGUCAGAAACCUGAUCAAAGAAGCUUGGGAGCUGGAUGCUGAGGAAUCAGUUACAGAAAAAGCUGGAAGAUGUCGACGUGCGAUCAUUGUCUGGACAAGAUUAAAGCAUCAGAAUAGCCAAAAGCUUAUUGAGGAGAAUAGACAAAAACUUGAGGAAGCUAUGGCUGGACAGGAUCCUGAUCCAUCUCUUAUCUCCACAAUCAACCAUAACCUACUUCUUGCCUAUAAAGCUGAGGAAGAUUUCUGGAAACAGAGAAGCCGGCUCCUUUGGCUUGCAUUGGGUGACAGAAACUCUGGAUACUUCCAUGCUAUCUCUCGAGGAAGAUCUGUAAUUAAUAGAUUUUCUGUUAUUGAAGACAGUGAAGGCAUCCCACAGUUUGAAGAGAAAGGAAUUUUGAAAGUAAUCACAAACUAUUUUCAGGAUCUCUUUACCUCCCAAGAGAAUGAAAACUUCUCAUUAGUUCACGAUUCAAUCCACCCGUGCAUCUCUCCUGCAAUAAACCAAAAUCUGAUCAAAAUCCCCUCUGAAGAGGAAAUUAAAAAUGCAUGCUUUGCCAUCCAUGCUGACAAAGCACCUGGGCCAGAUGGCUUCUCAGCCUGCUUCUUCCAAUCCAACUGGGGCACUGUGGGACCCCAAGUAGUCUUUGAAGUCCAAUCUUUCUUCUUGAAUGACCAUCUGCCAAACAACAUAAAUGCAACCCAUAUCAGACUGAUACCAAAGAUUCCAAGCCCCCAAAGAAUGGUGGACUAGAGACCUAUAGCCCUUUGUUCUGUCUUCUAUAAGAUCAUCUCAAAGCUCCUGGCAAAGAGACUACAACCUGUUCUGCAAAAUGUCAUCUCUGAAAAUCAAUCAGCUUUUGUGCCUAAAAGAGCUAUCACCGACAAUGUACUCAUUACACAUGAAGUCCUGCACUAUCUAAAGACAUCAAAAGCUCAAAUGAAGUGCUAUAUGGCUGUCAAAACUGACAUGAGUAAAGCCUAUGAUAGGCUGGAAUGGGGUUUCAUCAAGGCAGUAGUUGAGAGAAUGGGUUUCCAUCCAAAAUGGACUCACUGGAUCAUGAAGUGUAUUUCAACUGUAUCCUAUUCUUUCCUAAUUAAUGAUUCAGCCCAAGGAAGUGUCACCCCAACUAGAGGGAUAAGACAGGGAGAUCCCUUGUCACCUUACCUUUUCAUCCUCUGCAGCGAAGUCCUUUCUGGUCUGUGUGGUAAAGCUCAGGAAGAUGGUACCUUGCCUGGAAUCCGGGUCUCUCUAGGAAGUCCAAGGGUGAACCAUCUCCUCUUUGCAGAUGACACCAUGUUUUUCUGCCGAUCUGAUGAAAACAGCUGCAAAACACUCCUGAAAAUCAUUAAAAGGUAUGAGUUAGCUUCUGGCCAAUUAAUCAAUAAGACAAAAUCCUCAAUUACCUUUUCAGCCAAGACACCUGUUUCCUUAAGGGAAAUAGCCCACCAAACUCUAGGGAUGCAACAAGUUGGUGGUCUAGGUAAAUAUCUUGGACUUCCUGAAUUCUUUGGCAGGAAAAAGAAAGAUAUGUUCAACCUUAUUAUUGAUAGAAUCAGACAACGCGCUCUGAGCUGGUCCUCAAGAUUUCUAUCCACUGCGGGUAAAGCCACUUUACUCAAGUCUGUGUUAGCUGCAAUGCCAACCUAUACUAUGUCUUGCUUCAAGCUUCCAGGAUCCCUUUGUAAACGUAUUCAAUCUGCUCUAACACGAUUCUGGUGGGAUGCUUCUGUUGAAAAUAAGAAGAUGUGCUGGGUAUCUUGGAAUAAACUAGCAAAAGCUAAGUGUGAUGGAGGUUUAGGAUUCAGAGACAUACCUUGUUUCAAUGAUGCACUCUUGGCCAAGAUCAGUUGGCGCAUCCUUUCCAAACCCUCCUGCUUAUUAGCAAAAGUCCUUCUUGGGAAAUACUGCAAAUCGUCUUCUUUCUUGGACUGUGAGGUUUCCUCUACGGCUUCCCAUGGGUGGAGAGGCAUUUGUAUUGGCCGGGAUCUACUGAAGUCUCAUCUGGGAAAGGCCAUUGGGUCGGGAAAGAACACGCUACUAUGGUAUGAACCAUGGAUCUCUUUGGUUAAACCAACCCAUCCCAUGGGACCCCCAACUGAACAAAGUCUCUCCUUGACUGUUGAUCAUCUUAUCUGCCCAAUUUCAAAGACCUGGAAUAGAGAGAAAAUAAGACUCUUGCUCCCAGCCUACGAAGAUGAGAUUUUAGCAAUUAAACCAAGCAAAACAGAUGCUGAGGAUCGACACAUCUGGCUUCUUACCAAGAAUGGAGCUUAUUCUGCAAAAUCGGGUUAUAUUGCAGCCACUAUUGAGGCAUCGCUUGGCCCUAGUCAACAAGACUCCUUUUCAGGUUUCAACUGGUUCAAAGAUCUCUGGAAUAUCAAAUGUCAACCAAAAAUCAAGUUUUUCUUAUGGAAACUUUUGAGAGACGCUUUACCUCUUGGCUCUAAUCUCAGCCUUAGAGGAUUUAACCUUGAUGCUCUUUGCCCUCAUUGCCAACAAGAAGAAUCUGGACUCCACCUUUUCUUCCAUUGCCCCUUCGCUCAGCAAGUGUGGAAAGCUGCUCCGUUCAAAGCCCCGCUUAUCCCUGGUCUUAUCUCAAGCUUACAGAUGGGGAUCGAAAGCUCACGAAAUUUGGUUAACCUUCCUCCCGUGGGAAUCGGACCAGCCCCUUUGCUACCCUGGAUCCUAUGGAACAUUUGGAUUUGCAGGAAUAAGCUGAUCUUCGAAAAAAAACAGAUCUCUCCUCAGGAGGUCCUCUCCCAAGCCACCAUUAAUGCCCGUGAGUGGAUCCUUGCACAACCAAACCAGAUUCAGACGCUUCCUACCAUCUGUGAGCCUCUGGCUGCGGUCAACAGAGCAGGGACGAUUCUCUGUUUCUCUGAUGCGGCUUGGAGGAAGGACUCUCAUGCUGCGGGAUUUGGCUGGAUCUUCUCGAAUCGCCUCUCCAACCUGGCGCACCAAGGCUCUUCUUUUGCUGCAAAUGUCGGGUCUCCUCUCCUGGCUGAAGCCAUGGCUCUCUCCUUGGCUCAAAUUCAGGCCCUAGAACUCGGUUUUAGGAACUUUUCUUUCGCUUCAGAUUCGCAAUUGCUGAUCAAAGCUCUUAAUUCAGAGUCCUCCCCAAAGGAACUCUAUGGGAUUCUCCAAGAUAUCCUUGCUCUAUCUUCAGAUUUCGAUGAAAUUUCUUUCUCUUUUGUUUCUAGGGAGAAAAACGGUUGUGCAGAUGCACUUGCAAAAUCUGCCUUAAAUUCUGCAUUUAUUGUACCAGCAUCUGUAACUGUACCGAUUCCGGUUUAAUGAAAUUCAGUUGAUUGACAAAAAAAAAAGGAAAUUCUUUUGUCUUAAAUUACUUUACAAGUUAUAUCCAACCUCUUUAUCCGAGUGUAUGCCAGCUGGAAAUCCACUUGACACAUCGGUAUUCUCUCCACGUCAGAAAAAUUAAACGUCUUAUCAACUGCCACGUGUCCAUCUGCGCCACUCACAUGUCUCACGUCGAAAUAUGAGAAAAAUUAAAGUAUGACUUUUCACUGUCCAAAUAUCUAUAUUAUUAAUUGGGAAUCACUACAUAUUAAACAACCUUAUAAAGGGUAAAAUAUUACAAAAUAUGCCAUUGAUUUUUAGUGUUUUUAAAUAACUUCAUUAAGGGUACAAUAGUAAUCACAAAAUUAAUAUAUUUAAAUACAAAAUAGUUAAAUUCUUUAAAAUAAUUAUUAAUUUCCAAAAAAAUAAACUAAUUUUCUUUCUCUUAUUAAUUAUGGACGAAAAUUUGAAAUUAAUUUCUAAAAAAUUUUUAACCAAUGAGAAUUGAAAAACUAAGAUUUGAUAUCCAUCUAAAAUUUUAUAUAAACCAAUCCUAAUAGACUAUUCUAUAUCAAAAAAAAGAAAUUAGUAUCAUUUUAAUUCAAAAUACUAUGCCUUAAAAGAUUUAUCAAUGGAGGAUUUUAAUAUUGAAUUUGAAAUUUCAUAAGAAAAUCAAAUACAAAUUUAAAGAUUUAGUUUUGUUAUAAUAUUUUCAUAAAUUUUGAAAUAUAAAACAAAAUUUUAUUUCACAAUUUCUGAAAAACGAUAUUAGAUAUUAACAAAUAUUUAUAUUUACUAUGAAAUAAACUCAAAUAAUAAUAAAUUUAAAAUAAGUAUCAUCAUGGCCUUCGUUUAGAACAAGUUUCGGAAAUAUCUAAACAAUACAUUGUACAUAUUAAUUUCCAAAUUAUUUUGCGUUUUUUUUUUCAACCGAAUCUUCCUUAAAUAAAUCCCUAAAAUAUUGCACGGAAUAAUGUAAACUAAAUAUAUAUUUUGUAUUCAAAACAAAUUAUGCAGCAAUAGCAUAUCCCUUUUAGAGAUGUAUCUCAAAUUUUUAUUUUUAGUCCAAAAAUCAAAUUAAUUAUGAUUAAACAAUGAAAAGAAUAAUAUGCAUAAUUUAGCUAAGGAAAGAAACAUUAAUAAAAAUUUUAAAAUAUAUUUGUUAUUUUAACAACAUAUAUAUUAAUCUGCAAAACUCAUAGUAUGUAUUGUAUGGUAUUUAAAGGUAAGCAAACAAGAAUUUGGUUUAUGAAUUUAAUGGAAUGAAAUAAAAAUAGGAAUUACGAGACUGGACGAGAUGAGAACAUAAAUUAAAAAUCAAACUAAAUAUCCAAUUGGUAUGUGUUCGGCUGUUAGAAAUGAAAUAACCAAACUAAAACCGAAUCCAUAUCCUAUAUAACACAUGUAAUCAAACUGUUAGAAAUGUUUUGAUUAGUUUAGAAAAUAAAAACCGUAACAUCAUUUAACUUUUGCAACUAAAUUAUAUCUUAAUUAUUUCUUAAAUAUAAUUUCACACGUACGUGUAGGUCCGAAUCUUAAAAUAUAACUAUGCACUAACGCAACUGAAUUUCGUUCAUUACUCUAACUAUAUAAUAUUUAUACUAUUAUGAAGUUCACUAACACAACAAAAUAUUUUAUAUUUUUAAAAUCUAUAUAAAAAUUUAUAUAUAUAAAGAUAUCUCUGCAUAUACGUGUGAAUUCAGAUCUAAUACACUAAAAUAUAUAUCAUAGAAACAACAAAUAAUCUAUAUUGAAUUAAAAUUUGUUAGAAAAUUUUUUAAAAUAUGAAACCCCGCACGUAUGUGCGGGUCAGGAUCUAGUUCUUAUUAACCAAAACAUAGAGAUUGAUGCGAAUUAUUUUUCUAUUCGUAACUAUAAUAUUCGAUUUAAAACCUAUAUCAUUAUACUAUUACAAAAAAAUUGUUCAAUUGUUUUUGAGUGGCAAUUUUAAAUGGUAUCAGAAUCACUCCAACUAGUUUUUUCAGCAUCUCAAUGUAUUGAUACCAAUUGUUGUGUAAUUUUUAAAAAAGAAAUCCCAAAUUUUAAUAAGAAAACAUAUUUAAAAUGGGACUGAAUUUACUGUUAUAACUCAAUUACAUUAUGAAAAAUCGACAACAUUAUUCCGAUCGAGAAUAACCUUGAUAUACCGAAUAAGUUUUACAAAUAUGUGGUUUAGAGUUAAGAGUGGCAUUAGAUAACAAUGUUUAUGUUGAAUAGUUUAAUUAUUUGUAUCUGAACUAUAAAAAUAGGAAAUAAAAUAUACCAGGAGAUUGUCUUUCAUUCUUGUAUUACAGGCAGAGCAGCAGAGGGAAUAAGAAACAUCAUCAAUUAGACAUUCCAGACUUAAUGGAACAAAGACUACUUCAUUCUCCUGUCUCAUGAUGCUGAAUGUCUUUCACCUGAUGAAGUCUCUCUAUCUCUUUGUCUUUUCUCGCUAUGGUGUCCUUAAGGGACGCUAACUAUAAAAACAACAUAUGACUCAUUGUAUCUUUAAUAAGAGAGAUAAGAUAGAGAGGUGAGAAAGUGUGUGUCUAUCUACCUGUUCCAUUAAGUCUCGAACGUCUUUACCAUAUAGCACAUAACCGGUUUUAAAAUCUAUGCCGCGAACGUGAACAAUGACAAUGCUGCAUAAGAAAACAUAUAAAUUCAGUUUAACAACAAUUAGGGCUGCUGAAAACACCUUUUUUUUUUUUGUUCCAAAGGACAUAUAUGAAGAAGAACCUGUGGGAGCGACUUCUUCUUUCAUUCAAGGCAGUAGAACCAACGACUCGAUUCUUUAGACCAAUGUCCAUCAAUGUAAUCACAUCUGAAGUUGAUGGUUUCAUAGUAUUUUUUUCUUCCUUUUUGUCUUCUACUAACAUUUUGACAUUUUGAAUACAACCACUUUAAUUUUACCUAACAAUUGCAUGUAUUCCCUCCUGAACUUGUUGUAUUCUGUGUUCGCUUUUUUACAAAUCAAAUCAUUUUGCGUUUUAACAUUAAGAAAAGAAAAGAAAAUUAGAGUUAUAAGAAAAUGUAAAAAAAUAAUAAAAUGAAUCUAGCCUUUUAGCUAAUGCACUGACUGAAAAUAUAUUAAAAUAAAGAUUCGAUCGCACAGUCUAGCUAGAUGGAGAUUUGAUUCUGAUAAGUCAAGUGUAUCGAUGGAGUCACAUAGACUCAACAUGCAUUUAAAUGAAUCUCAGUUCUCUGUCCAAUGUAUAUUACACACAAACUUUGAAUACUUGCUAAUCACUAGAGUUUGAAUACGUUAUACGUAUCAACUAAAACUUUGAAUACUUGCUAAUCACCAUCAUGAAACCGGGAAAUUGAAGGAUGCUCAAGAGCAAAAUCAAAUCUAUCGUUAUGUCCAAUAAUUACUUGCAAACUUGCGACAACUUAUAUUAGUUGAAAGAUAACUAUUAGUCAAAAAAGAAAAAAAAAAAAAAAGUAAAUAUAUGGGCUCAAGAUAUAGAAGCCCAUAUACACACAUGGGUUAUUAAAAGGCCCAUAGGACCUGUCGCUUAGAGACGACGUCGUACUAAAUUGAUCGACAUAAUUACGAGAGGCAAGAUUUCCCUACAACACUAAUUGGGAACGUAAACUCAAAGUUCAUUGCUAAAGAAGUUGGUAUGGCUUUGCCGGAAUCAAACUAAUAGCGAAUUUGGAUAGAAAGACAUAUCUAAUUUGCGAAUUGACUCUGUUAACUUGGGUUUCAGGGUUCUUCUUCUUCUUUUUUUUGUCAAUCAGGGUUUCAGGGUUCUUCUCAUGUUCCUAAAUCCUAAUAUCAAUGUUUUCCCCAACUUAGUAGUUCUUUUACAUAUCAGUGAAUAACUUUGUAAUUUAUAUAUAUAUAUAUAUAUAUUGUGAUUUCUCCUACCUUUUAUUUUUUAUUCCAUCCAAAUUUGGUCUUAAAUUUACUACUAAUUAGCUACAAAGCAUGACGAGUACUUAAAACAGGAUUACAAAGACUUAACUGAGAAUAUACGACUUUCUAAACACAUAAUUUAUACAGACAAAACCAUACAAUUUCAGCUCAAACUCCUGCAAAAUUCUCGCUGUCAGACGAGUCAGUUGCUGGACCGAAUACCUCUAUAUCCGUGGCUCGGUUCUUGCGAUGCAUACAGGUAAAUUUCGAUUUGAAUAUGUAUAUAUCCAAUCUUUGGUCUGCAAAAGACUAAAUCUGUUUCAUCUUCUUGUUUUUACUUUAUUUCAUUCAUGACCAAAAAUCCCACCAAGGGUAAUUGUUGCUGGAUUGGUCCAAGAGAGUAGUAGUAUCUGAUUUGAAACCUCUCCAAUCAUCAGAUGAUGUCAAACAACUAUCAGCUGGUUCAACAAUGUUCAUUAAGUGAUCUGGUUCUUCCUCAAACCCACCAAAAUACUCUCUCUUGAUGUUGUUAUUGUAACCAUCAUCAUCAUCAUAAUCAUCAUGAUUAUGAUGAUCACACAUAACCCCAUGGUGACCCUUCUCAUCUUUCAUCUCCAUCUCCGGUCUAACCUCUUCCGGUUCACGCCUCCGGUUCUCUUCGUUUUCUGAUUCAUGAUCUGUGCUGCUUAGAGCCACCACAGCUUGAUCUCUACAACACUGCCUUUCCUCAUCCUGAGUCUUCUUCUGCAUCGCCUCUUUUAGCCUCUGCAACUGCAUAAACGUAUAAAACAACUCAUCAACAAUCUAUUUUCUCCUUCAAUAAACCAUCAAAACAGAGUUUUUUUUCUUUUAAUCACCUAAUAUAUAACCAACUUUAAGUCAUUAAUUGCAGUAUCUAACCAUGGAAGGAUAAACAGAUUUUAGGACAUACCUCAGAGACUAAAGCUUGUUUUUCUUUCUUUAAGGACUCAAACUGAGAAGCUAAGUUGUCGUAGUUUUGUCUAAGAAUGUUGUACUCAGUCUCGAGCUGCUUCGAUUUCCAACGAGCCCUCUUGUUCUGAAACCAUAUAGCCACUUGCCUCGGCUGCAACCCUAGCUCUCUAGCUAGUUGAACCUUCUUCCUUGGCUCAAGCCUUGUCUCAGACUCGAACAUCAUCUCCAGUGACUUGAUCUGCUCGUCGCUAAACCUUCUCUGAUUGUUCUUGUUGUGAUUGCUCUUCUUUAUCUUCUUCAUGGUCAAGAAUGGAUCUGAUGACAUCAUCGCCGGAGAAUAUUCUCCUCCUUGUCUCAUCUCAUCGGAGGAUUUAUGUUUCUUUUAUUUAUUUUUUGGAAUCUCUGUGUUUGUGUGAUGUUGGCUAAUCUAUAUAUGUGUGUUGAGGCUGAGAUUAUUAUGUUAAACAGUUACAUAAAAAAUGUGAUUUGUUUUUAUUUUUUUAUGGGAGGGGUCCUUGGCAUAUAAUAAGAUAUAAACUCUGGGCUGCUUUAUCGUAAAAUUUUUAUUCAUUUUUUAGCUAAACGAUUUGUGGGUCGACAGGUAGCAAUAGGGCGGAUUUUGGCUGUUUCUAGAGUCGUCGCUAUCACUUGUUAAGUCGAGUUUCAUUUCAACUUGAAACUAAUCAUCUAACUACUGAUUAAUAAUUUCCACCUUUUUUCAUUUCUUUUACUUUUACUUUUAUGAUCUUUUUAGAAAGCUUUUUCUCUAGUAAAAAAAAUUCUAGGAAUAUCACUAUUUAAUUAAUAAGUAAAUAUACAUUUAAUAAUUCUAUUUUAGAAAAGAUUAAAGCGUCUUUAAAAAAAAACUCUUUCUAAAUGAUUUCAUCCUUUUUCUAAACCCUAUCUAAAUUUUCUUUUUUGGUAUUUUAGACUUUAAUAUUAUGAUAAUAGUGUUAAAAAAUUAAAUGAUAAAAAAUACUAGUACUUUAGAAAGGAAAAAAAUCUGCAGACUACCGAAUAGUAAACAUUCUGGUUGAUGUAAAAAUGGAAAUGGAACAACUGUUACGUACUGAUGUCUUUAAUGAUGUGGGUGCAUAACUGCAUAUUAACAAAUGCUGUCAUCGCAAUAAUGGAUCAUAAAUAAAAACGAUUAGCAUUUCUGGACUGAUUUCUAAGCAAUUAAAUUGAUUUAUAUAGGAUUUGCUAUGAUGAAAACUAAAAAUUGGGAAAAUUAAUAAUCCUAUGCAUAUAUCAUCACCAUGUGAGUAUAUUAUUUUCAGUACAUCUGUGGUGAAUAUAAUAUAAAACAUUAUAUGCGACAGAUUAUGUAAUAUAAUCUUUUAUGAUUGUGUGCGGCAGAUUUAACGUUCAGAAGUCAGGAUGUGGGACGGGUGUUUGUUGUAUAACGUAUGCCACAAAUCAUAAUUUGUUCUUAGAAUGUGACUUUUAAUUAUACUUGCAUUAUAAAAUGUAUAUUGAUUACAUCACAAAUCUCAAAACCAAAAAUUGUUACUAAAUUAAGUACUAUAUAGUUUGGUGGACUGUGGGAUACAAUCUUUCCAGCUAUUUGCUUACGCAUUUUUCUCUUAAUCGGAGAUUUAGAAUCCAAGCCUAAAACUAAUUUUUAUAGAUAAGAGUAAUAAUAGUACAUGUUUACCUUCACCGCACGUAAAACUUCCGUGCAUGCGAUUUGAUUACUUUUUAAUUGCCAACUCAGUUGUGAUCAUUUGUUGACCCUUACACAAGAUAUUUUAAAAAAUUGACAAUACUAAUACACGUAAACUAUUUGUUUCUAAUUAGCAUCUUAUUUGAACUUAUAUGUAUAUGAUAAAUCACAAAUAUAAUGAUUCUUGAGAAGAAGAAAAAAAUCUAAAUUUUUCAUUUUUCUGUGUUUAUCCUAACAAAAUCGUAUUUAAUAAAAAUAGAAAUGACAUAUAAUUGUUUUUUAUAGAGUCUAUAUAUAACGUAAUUUCUAAGAAACUCUUCCUAUUUAACCUCUCUUUUUUGUUUAACUUCACCUAUAAACAGUAUAAUUCCACCAAAUAGAGGGAUUUAACCUUUUCUCCUUUUUUUUACUUCACCUCUACACAUACUGUUUUCACCAAAAAGAGGGCUAUGUUUCAAACCAAAAGUUCUUACAGUAAUUUUUUUACUUAUUUUUCAUAGUCAGAGAAACGAAAGAGUUAGUAAUAUUUUUGGUUUUCUAACGGUUUCCGAAUAUUAGAAAGAAGCUAUGCUCAGGGGCGGAUCUAUGCACAAGAAGAGGGAGGCAGCUGCCCCCAUUAAAAUAUAAAAAAAUAUAUAUUUUCAUUGAUUUUAUCAAAGAUUUAUUAGAUCAAAUGGUAAUUGAAGUAACUUGCCCCCCCCCCCCUAAAAUCAUGGUCAAAUCCCACGAUGCCCCUCUUUCCCUUUUUUUUUUUUUCAUUCUUUGUUUUUCAUUUUUUUUCUCUUUUUGUUAUUUUCUUCCCCAAUAUUAGCAUUUAUUUAUUUUUAUAUAUUUUUUAAUCUUAGACAUAGCACUUCCAUAUCAAUAUUCUUUCCAUUUUGUUUUUAGAUUAUUUUUUAUGAUUUAUCAAUCUAUUAAGCGUCUUUUUAAUGUAACAUUUUUAUUGGUUUAUUUCCAUUAUGAAGGGUAUAUAAAAUAUUAUUAUAUUUACUAUUCUGAAAUAUUUAAAUAUAUAAAUAAUAAUAAUGUAACAAUAUUGAAAAUAUAAAUAAUAAUAAUUGAAUAAUAAAUUAUUAUUUUUAUUUUUAAACAUCGAUAUCAUAUUUUGCCCCCGGUAAAAAUAUUUCCUAGAUCCGCCACUGGCUAUGCUCAUCCUAAACCUAAAAGAACCAAAUUUUAUUUUUGUCAACAGGGAAGCCAUAUUUGAACCAGAUCACCUAGACUUUAUUUUCUUCACGAUAGCUAUAACAAUUCGACAAUAUUAGCAUGCAUUAAUGUGAACAGCAACUUUAAUUCUUGCUUUUCUGAUUAGUUUAAGGUUUACGUUCACCUUGCUUGUCGGAAAUUUCUUUUGACUAAUUAAUACAAGCAAAAAAAUUAAAUUGGGCCCUCUAGAUACGAUAUUUUCAGACCCUAGCAUUUUAUAUUGUUUUAUAAUUAAAUCUGAUCUUCGUAAAAUAACAACAUAAUUCACAAUUAUACUUCCUAUCAAGUAUCAACUAAAAUUAAACCAAAAGUAACAACUAAAAUUGAACGUAAGAGUUUCAAUUUCUGAAGUCUUAUUUGAACUUUAUCAGAAGUGGCAAUCAAAAAUAUCAAGAUCAGCCAUCCAAAACUAGCCAAGUGGUUAUAAUCUGAGAUAUGAGAG